UACAGAGGGGGCAAGCGUUAUUCGGAAUUAUUGGGCGUAAAGAGCUCGUAGGCGGCUUGUCGCGUCGACUGUGAAAACCCGCGGCUCAACUGCGGGCCUGCAGCCGAUACGGGCAGGCUAGAGUUCGGUAGGGGAGACUGGAAUUCCUGGUGUAGCGGUGAAAUGCGUAGAUAUCAGGAGGAACACCGGUGGCGAAGGCGGCUCUCUGGACCACAACUGACGCUGAGGCGCGAAAGCUAGGGGAGCAAACAGG
rnacentral:rRNA from 1 species